ensembl:ncRNA
UAAAGCUUUUAUACCAAAGCUC